UAGGAGACCUUUCAGAUGAGGACUGCAAAGUGGUUCACAGCUAUUCAGCUUCACAAAAGCCCGCAUAAGGUCUCCCUCUAUUCUUGAAGGUGCCUCCUGCCCUUCCCACCAAAGAGGGUCACACUUUAGUCCAGGAGAUGACAAGCAGCAAAGCAAGGUCCAUGGGAACAUGAGGGAAUGCUUUGCCAAGCAGCAGGUCCACGCUGGUGUGUGGCCUUUGUAGUCAGGGUUAAACAAACAGCGUGCAAAUAAAUAAAUAAUCUGCUC